UAGGGAAUCUUCCACAAUGGACGAAAGUCUGAUGGAGCAAGCCGCGUGAGUGAAGAAGGGUUUCGGCUCGUAAAACUCUGUUGUUAAAGAAGAACAUAUCUGAGAGUAACUGUUCAGGUAUUGACGGUAUUUAACCAGAAAGCCACGGCUAAAUACGUGCCAC
rnacentral:rRNA from 1 species